UCCCUCCCUAAAGCAGAUAAGUUUCUGGUUUUAGGUUGUACGCAAAAGAGUUUUGCAAAAAAUAUUAGAUUUGUUUUGUGUGUAAGGGCGUUUUGUGUGCAAGAAUAUCUUUUGGUUUCAAGAAUUUAUCAUUGUAUAAUGGAAAAUGUAAAAAGGACAUUUGAUGUAAACCAGAAGGCAAUGGUCAACAAGCUACAUAACAUGCAGUGGCUGAAACAUGCAUCUCAUUCAUUGAAUCCUGGAAAGGUGAAGCGUAUACAAAAGCUUGAUGCGAAUAAUAAAUUAGAAAUUAAAGAUUUAUUAACAGAAAAUAUUGAGACAUUAUACUCAAUUGAAAACUCUCACAAAUAUCAUUCCAUGAAGCCAUACAAAAGAGAUUUAUCUAUUGAUGUAAUGCAAGAUGAUGCAUAUUUACCUAACCCGUUUCCAAAUUCCAAAAUGUUGAUUAAUCGUAAGGAUAAAGGAGA